CCUACGGGAGGCAGCAGUGAGGAAUAUUGGUCAAUGGGCGCGAGCCUGAACCAGCCAAGUCGCGUGAGGGAAGACGGUCCUAUGGAUUGUAAACCUCUUUUGUCGGGGAGCAAAAGACGCCACGCGUGGCGUUCCGAGAGUACCCGAAGAAAAAGCAUCGGCUAACUCCGUGCCAGCAGCCGCGGUAAUACGGAGGAUGCUAGCGUUAUCCGGAUUUAUUGGGUUUAAAGGGUGCGCAGGCGGAAGAUCAAGUCAGCGGGAAAAUUGAGAGGCUCAACCUCUUCGAGCCGUUGAAACUGGUUUUCUUGAGUGAGUGAGAAGUAUGCGGAAUGCGUGGUGUAGCGGUGAAAUGCAUAGAUAUCACGCAGAACUCCGAUUGCGAAGGCAGCAUACCGGCGCCCGACUGACGCUGAGGCACGAAAGCGUGGGGAUCGAACAGGAUUAGAUACCCGUGUAGUC
rnacentral:rRNA from 1 species